rnacentral:rRNA from 1 species
GACGAACGCUGGCGGCGCGCCUAACACAUGCCAGUCGAACGAGCGAGAGAGAGCUUGCUUUCUCGAGCGAGUGGCGAACGGGUGAGUAACGCGUGAGGAACCUGCCUCAAAGAGGGGGACAACAGUUGGAAACGACUGCUAAUACCGCAUAAGCCCACGGGUCGGCAUCGACCAGAGGGAAAAGGAGCAAUCCGCUUUGAGAUGGCCUCGCGUCCGAUUAGCUAGUUGGUGAGGUAAUGGCCCACCAAGGCGACGAUCGGUAGCCGGACUGAGAGGUUGAACGGCCACAUUGGGACUGAGACACGGCCCAGACUCCUACGGGAGGCAGCAGUGGGGAAUAUUGCACAAUGGGGGAAACCCUGAUGCAGCGACGCCGCGUGGAGGAAGAAGGUCUUCGGAUUGUAAACUCCUGUUGUUGGGGAAGAUAAUGACGGUACCCAACAAGGAAGUGACGGCUAACUACGUG